rfam:Picea glauca, whole genome shotgun sequence.
ACAUGCCUACAACAUGGCGUUAAUGCAUCGAAUCCCAUUAGAACUCCGCAGUUAAGUGCGCUUGGGCUAGAGUAGUACUAAGAUUUGUGACCGCCCGGGAAUUCCUAGUAUUUUACAUGCC